GGCACCCUGAAAACUAUAAACAUUGAUUCUCCUUCUUCUUGUUAUUCCUUGUGGGCAUUUUACUUCUAUAAAACAGAGCAACAUUCCUACCCUGAUGAUCUUGCAGCAAGAACAAACGAAUACUAGAGAGAACUGAGGCGAAAUACAAGCAAGAUUCAGAUGGCAAACACAACCAGGGAGUGUGCUGGCAAUGGGUGGUUUAUGUUCAGGAUAUCUCACCCAUGGGGAUGUGCAUUCUGGGAAAGUCAGCCUCAUGGACACCUGUGAAAAGAAAUUUAUCCUGCCCUGGGGAAGCUGAGUAGUGGGGCAUGCAAAUGAGAUUGGUCACUCUAUAAAUUUCUCUUUGAAAAAUGUAGCUUUUAACCUGGCAAGGAGGUGAGUGGGUGAGUGUUGUUGAAUCAUGGAGGGGACAGGCAUCAGUUGGGAGAGUUUUUUGUUGGUUCCAGUAGACAAAGACUUCCUGCCAGAAGGGAGUUCUAGAUUCGCCUCCCAAAAUGUGUGCCUGCUGUGUCAUCUCUACACUGAUAAUGUUAGGUCUCCUUUCCUUUUUUCUUCUUUUUUAAAAUUUUUUUUUCCUCCACUUUUUAUAAAGAAAGCACUGUAAACCAUUUUGUGCUGUUCUGAAAUUUUGGGUUCUUUUGUUUCUCUGCAUUUCUAUUGGAUUAUGUCCCUGACAUUAUUGCCAAGAAGUUAAAUAAUACAUCUAGAGAUUGAGAAAGCUAAAUAGUGAAGCUCUGGAGCUUAUAGCUUUUCUAGUGCUGUGCCAAGGAGCUUUCUGAGUUGAGAAUUCAUGUCCACAGAGACUCCACAACCUGUCUGGGCAACCUGUUCCAGUGUUUGAUCACUCUCCUAGUUAAAAAGUGUUUUCUUACAUUUAGGUGGAAUUUCUGGGGCUUUUGUUGGUGUAAGAGGUACUGCUGCAGGGCCCUACCUUCCUGAUUUCUGCUGAGAGGAGCGGAAGAAAUAGCAGCAUUCUUGAAGUGAAAAACGGGAAGACAACCCAGAAGGAUUCCUUUACACACUUAUUUUAGUUUAGAUAAGAGAAGGGAGAUGCCAUCUGGAGAAAGCAGGAACUAAUUCGACUGGGUGGAACAUGGCUUCAUCGGAAAAAGUUUGAUCUGCAGUUAGCUUUUAAGUGCCUUGAAGCUUGUGGUGUAAUCAGAGCUUUGCAUUUCAUUUGUAAUGAAGGCAAACAGGUGCCAGCUGUAAAAUUUAUUCCUGGAUCUGGACCCAAGAGUUUUCAUGCUCCUCAACUUUUCAGAAGUUUUGAUUCAGAUUUUAUUUUUGCUUUUCUCCCUUCCCUCUUUGGCCAAGCUGAAAUGUCUGAGCCUUGAUUUGGAAUCUUUUAGAAAUAUGGAAAGCAGGGAAGAAUAUGCUUACCUGGGAGGAGUGGCAUAUCCCUGUGUGUCCAUUAAAUGAGAAUUCCCCAGCUUCCUGGGGCUCCUGGUAAAAAUUACCAGAUGGAGGACGUGGACCAAAAUGACACAUUGGACCAAGAUGACCCAAAGAUGUGGUGCUUGAGAGGAAAUGCUGCAGCCCUGACUCCUGAACAUGCACAGUGGCAUCAGCAGGAAAGAAGCCACCUAUGUCAAUUCUCUCUUCUGAACUUCAUCCUGUAGGUUGAUGGGCACCUCUUGAAAAAUAAUGAGGAUAUUCAGUUGCCCACUUGGUGCAGUGUGGAGGAGGAUCUGCACUGGCAGGGAUCACCAGGAUGGCUGCAGCUCAGGAGGAACCACAGGGCUUCAAGGCACCACAGAAAAAGAUCCAGGCUUCCUGAGACCUUGUUCAAACUGAACCUUUAAGCAGGAUGAUUUCCCAUCAAUAAGGGGGACACCACAGAGCACCAUCACCUGAUUCUUGACAGUGUGAUGGGAUAUUCAUGACAGUGUAAUAGGAUUUUGGUGAAAUGCAGUAUUUUAUUCUCAUUACUGGAAUGCAGAAGGGCCACUUUAAGUCAGAAAAAAUUGAUUUUAGAAUAGGCUUUGUUAGAACCUUUCAGUCUCACAAUCGAUGUAAAUGAGCAAAUAUGAUUCUCUUUAAUUCUAGCUUCCUGAGUCACAUCUGUGCCAUGCACACAUUGGAGAAACAAGGAGAACACCCCUGUGUACCAUCAAAGUGGAGAAAACCAGACUAAUUCUUCAUGCUGGAAGCCCUCUGAGCAGAAGGCUGAAAGAGCUGUGUGUGAAUGGUCCAAAUUACACCCUCACCACUGGUGUAAGGCUGAUGAAGGCUGGAACAGGGAAGGCAGAAGGGAGACGUGAGGUCUGUCUGCUGAUAUAUGAAGGAAUAUGUUGUGAAGAGAAGAGACCAAUUAUUCUUACUAGCCAACAGGAGAAAUGCAGAGAAUAUUUAGGUCAAGCAUUAGGAGAAAGUUUCUAGCAGGUGUGUUAUUAAUCAGCUAUAAGGCAAGGCACACUUUGGAAAACCAGCCCAGCACUUUGGGUACCAAAUGAGUGUUGUAUGUCUGGAAGAACAGGGAAGUGGGAUGUCGAGGUGUAAGGCUUAAAUCCUGUCCCUGCUUCUGACACUGAGUCAUAGCAGUCCUGUGGAGGGGUACCAUUUUCAGUCCCUUCAGGCAAGUCUAAGCUCUCCACAGCCUAAAUAGGUCUGCUACCCCUAAGGACAGACAUAUAUGUGUAAAGACAUGAGCAAUAUGAAUGUCAGGAACUGCUCACCCAUUGGCUUGGAAUGCUCCUAGAUCAGAUACAGCUGUGCCCACAUUUGGGGUUGUCUCCACUGAGAGAUUACUUGUGGUUCUAGGGAGAGAUGACAUUCAUUUCUCUGUUCACUAGAUGAAAAUGGGUAAAAAUGCCAAAAAAAACCCCUAUUCUUGGAGAAAUUCUAAGUGACCGAAAACCAGUUUUUCAUCUCUGGAAAGUCUAAGAUUUUAAAAAUUUUGUCACAUGACCUGAGGAAAAAUGGAGGAGAAAGUUAUACUAUUGGAAACAUCUACAAAGAGUCUAAAACUGUUUUACUUCCAACUUACCAAGGCAUUUAGCUUCCUCUUUGUGUUAUAUUCAUAUAAUGCAAUAUCAACCUAUUUUUUUCCCCAGCCUUAUCCAAAUGAGAUUCUGUCAUGAAAUUUUUCCUUGAAGAUUUCAGUGCAAUUGGUACUUUUCUGCAAAAUAUGCCAUUUUGGUUCAAUUUGAAUUUUCUCCCAGAAAAUGUUUCUUUCAAAAAUUUUGGGCCAGUGCUGAUUACCAUUAUGCAGCUGCUGCUCCUGCAGCAGAUCCUUUCAAACAUAGCCAGUGAGCAUGCUGGUUUGUAGCCUGUACUAUGUUGCACCAAACAACAUAGCAAAACCACCCUUUAGCUGCAACUGGGAUGGACUGGCGAUGUUGCAGGUGUAACUUAUCAGUUGCUCUCACCAUGAUACCACACUUGUUUCUAUAUCUGGAGUGUGAGGAGGGUGAGCACCAUGAUGCACAGGCACCAUAUUACCAGUCUGUCUCCAGCACUGUGGCAGAGAGGGAUGCUGAGUUUCCUCCGAGGCCCCUCUGGGCACCUAUUUCAGUGUUUCCAAUGUUUCCCCAGAGACAGCUUUCUUACUUUUGAGGCUGAUUGUCAGGUCACUCAGACAUACAAAGAAUUUCUCUUGGAAAGGAAGCAUACUGUGGAAAUAAAUACCAGCUCUUACUCCAAGCAGCAGCUCAGACUGGGGAAUUCAAGGCCUGUGAUUUCAAGCCAGGCUGGUGGCACAGCUUAGACACAUGGAUGUGCACACCCCAAGGCCUCUUUUGCUGUGUGUGUGUGAAGAUAAGUAAAUAAUAAAUAAAUGAGUGUAAAUGUUCCCUGUCACACACAUGUUUUUUCCUUUUUUUCCUUCAUCUCAAUCCUUCGAUGGUUGUAUUCCUGGAUUUCUCUUAUCAGUGUUCAAGCAGGGCUUCUUGCUGCUCAGUAAAACACAUCACAACGAACCGAGCUCUCACCUUCUCUUCCCCCACCACACAUAGCAGCACACAGACAUUACACAGCUGCACUCCCUGUGCACGAGCCAGCAUGGAUGUCACUUAAUAGGUACACUUAGGUGGAGACGGAUUUCUCUGGAGGAAUUGCAGUCACCAAGGUUUAAAGUCAAAGGCUGGCCUUAAUGCCAACCAUGCAGCUGCAAGGGUGUAUGGGUCACCGCCUGGGAACCUGACGAAAAAGUUCAGAGAGGAGUUUGUUUGGAUGCAGGUGGACAGGAAGAUUACAUCCUUGGAGGGAAUUUGGUGCUGGCAUUAAGGUCACUCACAAAGCCACUUGCAGGUAGUGCCAUGCCCUCCUUAGCUCAUGCUGAGGGAUGGUGGUGUGCUUUGUGUUGGCAGUGCUGUGUCCUCAGAGCUGCCGGGGAGAUGCAAUGAAGUGGAAAGUGAGACUAAAGUCAAGGGUGAGGGAGUCACAGCCACGUAGUGAGGCAGUUUCUGCUUUCCCUGGAUACAUGGGCAGGGAGAGCAGAAUCUAAUACGGAUUGCAGAGAUGGAGAAGGUGUAAGAGAUCCAUCCAGUCCCUCUCCAGGCAGGUGUAGUGCUUUUAUUUGAGCAUCAUGCUGUUAGGAUUUCCUGAGGUGACAUUAAGUGGAUUCAUGACCACAGCUGAGCCUGGCACCACAGCGAGCCCCAGCAUGUUUUGGUGCCGUUAUUUGGUCUAAUGAUGGGAAUAAAUACACCUGGAAGCAGGGAAUCCUCUCCCAUCCUGGAAAUUUGUCUGGAUGGAUGUGAAGCCUUAUCAGCCCAGAUCCAUGCAGGAGAUAGGGGGUGAUUUUUGUCACUCCAGUGGAUGGUAAGUGAUACUUGAGCCCUGUCGCCUCCCAGUCGCCUCCAUCCUUCAUUACCCUCCCAUCUCCUCCCACUGCCCCCUCCUUGUAUUGCCACCCACUCUCGUAAUAGCUCCUGCACCAGCACACCACGGCUGCAAUAACAAAUACCUCCUCGUUUCAGCAUGAUGAAUGAAGAGUUUUAAUGAAACUGGCCUAAGCCGUUCCUGGCAAGCUGCCUGGUUUUUGUUUGUUUUAAGCAAGAGUGAUCCAUCACCCUCCCGACUUCUCUCCAUCGCAGCAUCCCCAAUCAAUGCUCUGCACCAGCCUCCCUCCUGUAUCCCUCAGUGGCAGCCCAUUCCCUGGCUUCCUGCAGUUACCUCCUCUCACCAUGACCCCAGCCCCUUUCCAGCUUCGCUCUCUGUGACAGAAAUUUCCUUUGGGUGUGUCUUUUUCCCUCGGGUGUCAGGAGCUGGUUAACGGGGUGCUCAGGGCUGUACGAGUGGAUAUCAUCAUCUCUGCCUGUGCAUCUCCAGCUGCCAGUGCUCACGCACACACAGAGGCACAUAUUGCUCACUAAUGGUGCAGUUGAAUGUCUGGUAGGUAUUAAUUACCCUUGCAGCCUGCUCUUUCAUUAGGGUCUCCUGGCUCUCCUGGGACAGACUGUAAAUCAAAGUGUGACUCACACAGCUUUCAGAACAGAAAAAUAUAAACAAUCAAGCCCCGAAGAAGGGAAGAAAUAAAGCAGAGCUCCACCCAACCUCGUGGGAAAUUAAAAAAAAAAAAUUAGGGAAAAAAAAAAAAAA
rnacentral:lncRNA from 1 species